AUUGAACGCUGGCGGCAGGCCUAACACAUGCAAGUCGAACGAGUGGCGGACGGGUGAGUAAUAUCUGGGAACGUGCCCAAUAGCGGGGGAUCACUACUAGACAGUGUGGCUAAUACCGCAUACUAUGGGAGACGCCGAUAUGGGAUUAGCUAGUAGGUGGGGUAAAGGCUCACCGAGGCGACGAUCCCUAGCUGGUCUGAGAGGAUGAACAGCCACACUGGGACUGAGACACGGCCCAGACUCCUACGGGAGGCAGCAGUGGGGAAUAUUGCACAAUGGGCGAAAGUCUGAUCCAGCCAUGCCGCGUGUAUGAAGAAGGCUUUCGGGUCGUAAAGUACUGUCAGUCGGGAGGCGUUACCUAAAGAAGAAGCACCGGCUAACUCCGUGCCAGCAGCCGCGGUAAUAC
rnacentral:rRNA from 1 species